AGACUAAGUAUAUAAGCAAGGGGCAAGAAGGAAGUCAUUCCUUCCUCUCUUCCUCCUGCUCUCUGCUCUACAGUCGCCAUGCGACCCGGGAAGAGGAUGACAGUGGAAGGCGUUCUCCAUAAGAUAAGUCUUAUGAUUAUGGAUGAUAAGUAAGACUGAGAUAAUUAUCCCUAUACCACCCCUGUCUGGUGGUCCUGGCUUCUAUAAAAAAAAAGAAAAAAAAAAAGAGCAGGCUGAGCAAGCCAUGGGGAGCAAUCCAGUAAGCAGCACCCUCUAUGGCCUCUGCAUCAGCUUCUGCCUCCAGGUUCCAACCCUCCUUGAGUUCCUGUCCUGACCUCCUCCAAUGAGGGAUUAAGAUCUGGAAGAGUAAGCCAAAUAAACCCUUUCCUCCCCAUCUUGCUUUUGGUCAUGGUGUAUUAGCACAGUAACAGAAACCAUAAUUAGUACAAUAUGUUAAGUCCAAAUGAAGUAAACCAAAAGAUAUAUAGCUGCCUAAAUCAAACAAGCAUAAAGUGCAUGAAAGAGCCAUAGAAAUCUCGUCACAUUUAAUUCUUUCAUUGUAUCAAAACAUACUCGAGCUUGGUGGUGGUAGUGCACGCCUUUAAUGCCAGCACUUGGGAGGCAGAGGCAGGUGGAUCUCUAUGAAUUCGAGGCCAGCCUGGUCUACAGAGCAAGUGCCAGGAUGGACCAGGAUGCCAGGAUGGGCUCCAAAGCUACACAGAGAAACCCUGUCUCCAAAAAAGAGAACAAAAUACUGAGGUUCAGAUGUGAUUAUCUCUAAUUCGAGGCUCAGAUGUGAUUAUCUCUAAUUCCAAGACGCCGAACUAUCAAUUCCUAAUCCCUGUAUGAAUUGAGAGGCCCUCCUGAUAUCAAGAUUCACUCUCCUAGGUUCAAACAUGGACAGGGUGGGAGGUGGGGAAGUGGGCGGGGGGGGGGGGAGGAACAACUUUGCCAAAAUGAAGGAUAUAGGAAAAAGCCAUCCUAUAGCCCCGAAAUCCAAGUUUAAAAAAAAGCAAACAAACAAAAACCUAAUCCUGCCCUGCUGUAACUUCUGCAGUCGGCAACAGCAGCACAGUGCUGUUCAGUUGUCGCUGCACCAGUUAAAGCAUGGGCACGUGGGUCAUGCUCUGAGACAGAAAGUGGCAAUAAAUAUACACUUAUAAAAAUCACAAGUCCAGGUCAGCAAGAAGACAUCCGAGCCUAGCUGCCUUGGUUCCAACACUUAAUGAUCAGAAACUACACAGGGCUGCCUCCAAGCUCAAGCAGCAGCUAGCUUACCAUCUUCAGGACCAAACCAGUCCAACCAAAGCAAGCUCGACAACACCUCAAGCUCCGUGUCACUUGUCAGAAAGUUUCAAGAAAACAUUGCUUGGAUGAUCUAGAGAGCAGUCAUGUGACAGACUGGGCUCUGAAAAAUCACUGAGUGAUUUAGUGCAGUCGGGCAGACAAGACUUUCUGGGGCAGCUCAUCCAAGAGCCGUAGCUGUGCCAUGUGGGGCCAUGUGGCAGGCUGCAUGCUGAGUCACAAGAGCAAGGAAGGGGCACUUCUGAAUCACCACGACCACAUCCUGCCCCUCCCUCAGCUGUUCCCUAGAAACUGUCUGUCAUCUGCUGGGUGAGUUCUCCAUCUGAAGGGCAGGUAUGCUCAGUGCCCCAAACGCCUGUGAACCUAGGUCCGUUCUCCAAGAGCAUCUGGCUCUGUUUCUUCCAGUGGAAUGAAUGUGUGAAGCUCACUGUGAAUAUGUGUGAUGUCCGUGCACACAGACUUGGAUUCAGUGGGAUUUUUCACAUUCUGUUUGCUGGGUACAACACAGCAUCUAUCUCCACUUAGACAAACUCUUGAAAGAUGGCUGUAGCUGACGUACAUCAGAAAGAAAGAGGAGGAACAAUACCAACCCGAUAACAACUUGGGAGGAAUGUGUUCUUUCUUAGAAUUAUAAGACACGUAUUCAUUACUGGUGGAGUCUAAGCAAGCAUGUCACCCCCCUCUGACUCAUCAGGAAAGAAUGUAUGGCAGGCAACUGAAAAUCCUCCCAGUCACCUUCGAUCCAGGGUAAGAGGAAAAAGUCAAAACUUUUUUCUUGGUAAAAAGGCAAUUUCAUAAAAUUAGUGCCCGAUGUGAGGGAAUUAGGGUUUGAAGUAUUGGAUACUUAGUAUAGUAAGUAUACAGAGGAACUUGAAAUCAGACAAGCCUGAACACUGUUUCAAAGGCAAGAAGCAGAUUAUACACGGUUUUGAUCUACUAAAAAACUUGACAGAAAAUCCUACAUAGUCUGGUAUAGACUGAAAUUACUUGGGCAGCUUCAGGUAUUUUGUGGAUCUGUUCAGAUUUUUUUUCUGUUUUAUAAAAAAAAAAAAGUCAUCAGCAUUUUGAUAGGGAUCACCUUCUAGCAGGAGUUCUUUGAGCAGUGUGGGCAUCUGAAAAACAUGGCAUCAUCUACUCCAUGAAAACGGGUUAUCUUCAAAUCCAUUAACAUGGAUGUGUUUCCAUUUAAUUGUAUUUUUCUCCAAUCAUUUUCCUCAGUGUUACUUACCUUUCAGCAUACACCUUGCAUCUAAAUGGCACUAUGUUCCUUUUUGGAUAGCUCACUGUUAAUGUGCACCAAUGCUAGUAAUCUUUACAUAUUGAUUUUCUGCCCUACAACUUUUCUAAACUUGCUUAUUUGUCCUAACAGUAUUUUGGUGGAGUCUUGAGCAUUUUUUUUGUAAUUAUAAUAAUGUUGUCAGUAAAGACAAUUUCACUUCUUCCUUUUCUGUGAUGGUGCUUUUGACUUCUUUCACUUUGUCAAAUUGCCCUGGCAAACUUUUACUGUGAAAAUAAUUCCCAAGAACAGUAACUCUUGUCUCCUUCUAUUUUUAGGGAAGUUUUCACAAUGAGUCCCACCUCGGCUGUGAGUUUGGCAUGCAUAGUCUUUCUUAGAUUGAGAUGCACUCCUUCUGGACCUAAUUGAUUGCAAGUGGUCUUAUUUGGGGAUGCUGUGCAAAAUCGGGGAGGUAAAGGCCUAGCUGGAGGAGGCAGGUCACCCGAGGGAGAUCCUUGGGGACACAGGACCAUUGUCACUUCUGCCCUCAUCCUGUUCUCUGCCACACUGUAAUAUGAACAGCUGUCUCUGCCAUCAGCUCCCACCACUAUGGCGUUCUCCAGCUCCUAGUGCCAAGCAACUAUGGACUGAGACUUAUGGAACCAUGAACCAGAAUGAACAUUUGCUUCCUUUUCCUGUCAGGCAUUUCUGUGAGAGCGAGGCAAAUGGAACUAAUACAUGUGACAUGUGUCACACUUCAUACUGUAAGUGUGAUGCAUUACAGUUGAACUGUCUUUGUAUCGAAGGGACAUUGUCUUAGUGAAUGAUCUUUUUAAUAGUUUGCCAAAUUUGGUUUGCUAAUAUUUUGUUGAAGACUCCUAUAUGUAUAGUAGUCAGGAAUAUUGGCCUAUACUUUUCAUUUCUUCCAGCAUCCAUAUCUGUCUUUAGGGUCAAUAUAAUGCUGAAAUCACAAAAUGAAUUCAGAAGAAUUUUCUCAACCUCGGGUUUUUUUUUUUUUUUCAUCUGUUUGUUUGUUUUUGUUUUAAAGACAAGUCUCUCAUUAAACCUGGAAAUCACUGCAGCCACUAGUGAGCAAUCCCCAAGGAAUUCUCCUGCUUCUGGCCACCCAGUACUGGAGUUACAGGUGUGUUCUGUCAUGCCAGCUUUUUAUACAGUAUAUUGGGUUUUUAUUGCUGUGAAGAGACACCAUGACCACAGCAACAUUUAUAAAGAAAAUUUUUAAUUGGAGUGGCUCACUUACAGUUUCAGAGGCUCAGUCCACUAUCAUAAGGAUGGGAGCAUGGCAGGACACAGGCAGAUGUGGUGCUGGAGCUGAGAGCCCUACAUCUUGCAGGCAACAGGAAGUUGACUGUCACACUGAGGGAAGUUUGGGCAAAAGAGACCUCAAAGCCCGCCCCCACAGUGACACACUUCCUCCAACAAGGCCACACCUCCCACUAGUGCCACUCCUUUGGGGGCCAUUUUCUUUCAGACCACUACAUACGGGUACUAAAGACCGAAACCAGAUCCCCACCUCUGCAUGGCAAGGGCUUCACCAACGGAGCCACCUCCCCACCCCCACUUCUGAUUUUCUCUCUCUUCUUAGCCAAUAAUGCUGACAUUUUGUGAGCUGGUUAGUUUUCUCAACUUGAUCCAAACAUGGACAUGACCGGGAAGAAGAAGAGUCAACCGAAGAAUCACCUCCAUCAAACCAGCCUGUGGGUGUGCGGAUUCGUAUGCUGGUGGGGUUUUCUUGGUUGCUGAUUGAUGUGAAAAGACCCAGCCACUAAAGGACGUCCCAUCCCUGAGUGCCUGGGCCUGGGUGGUGUAGGAAGAGCAGAUGAGCAAGCCAGAAGAAGCAAGCCAGUGAUCAGUGUUCCUCCAUGACCUGCUUCAGUUCCUGCCUCCAGAUUCCUUUCUUGAGUUUCUUCUCUGGCUUCCCUCAGUGAUGGACUAUAAACCUAUAAGCUAAAACUAACACCUUCCUCCUGAGUGGAUUUUGAUCAGUGUUUUAGCACAGCAAUAGAAAUCAAACAAGAACAGUUUGCCAAUCUUGUCUCUUUAAGGAAAAUCAAGUUUAGUCUUUUGAUGUUUUUCUCCAUUUUUUCAAUGCUCGAUUAUUUCUGUUCUAUCUUUGCUAUUUUUUUCUGCUCACUCUUUUGGGUUUUGUUUUCUUUUUUCUACUUUCUUGAGCAAUAAGGCUACUUAAGUUGUUCUUUUUAAUAAGCAUUUACUGUUAUUAACUUCUCUCAUGAAUGUGGCAUGCUGUGUUUCCAUUUCUGUUUGUCUCAGGACAUUUUCUGAUUUCCCUCUGAAGAUCUUCUUUGACUCAUGUUCACAAAGCAUAUUGCUUAAUCUUCAUGUAUUAUGAAUUUUCUGACAUCCUUCCUAUUGCUUCCCAGCUUAAUACCAUUGUGACAGGGAAUGACACUUGACAUGAGUCAGCUCUCUUAAAUGUCUCAGUCCAUCCCAAAGAAUGUACUGUACUUGAAAAGAAUGUGUAUUUUGCUUCUAUUUUAUGGGAUGUUUUCUGUGUCUCACAGUUCUAUUCACUCUAAAGCCUGAUUCUUACCCAAUGUUUCUUUGCUAUCUACUGAAUUGAACCAUAUACCCAUUGUUGACAGUGGGACACUGAGGUCCCCAAACUCUGUUGUAUCACAACCUACAUCUCCAGAUCAUGUAAUUUUUUAUGUCUAGCUGUGUCUAUGUUGGGUAUAGGUAUAAUUUUAAUAGCUUCUUGAUAAUUUAAUUCUUUAUUAUUGUAUAAUUGUUGUGGAACAUUAGUUGAAGAGGUGUUACAUUCGUUUAUGCUGUGGAGCAUUUGUUUAAGGAUGCAAAGAUGUGCUGCGCUCUUUCAUGUUGCAUUUGUUUAACUCUAUGAAGUUGUGUUACGUUGCCUAGCUAAAACACCUGAUUGGUCUAAUAAAGAGCUGAAUGGCCAAUAGCUAGGCAGGAGAAGGAUAGGCAGGGCUGCCAGGCAGAGAGAAUAAAUAGGAGAAGAAGCAGAAGACAGAGCGAAAAAAGGAGAGGGGAUGCCCGCCAGGGGCCAGCCACCCAGCAACACAGCCAGACAUUGAAUAAGAAGGAAAGAAAAUAUAUACAGAAAUAGAGAAAGGUAAAAAUCUCAGAGGCAAAUGGUAGACAGGACAAUUGAAGAAAAGCUGGCUAGAAAUAAGCCAAGUUAAGGCUGGGCAUUCAAGAAAGUCUCCAUGUGAUUAUUUGGGAGCUGGGUGUUGGGUUCCCAAAGAAUAAAGAGGAAAAAAAGCCUGUACAUAAUGACCUUCUUUAUUUAUCUUUUGCAGUUUUUUUUUAAUGUAUGUUCCAUUUUUUAAGUGUAUGCCGUGCAUGUGGCAUCCUGAAAGACCAGAUAGUAUCAUCAAAUGAGAGUUACAGAUGGUUGUGGGUCAUCCUGUGUAGGUUACUUGGCUUUAUUUCCUUUCUCAGGUGUUUCAGUUCCAGGAUUCUGCAAUCUUCUAUCUUUCGUCGGUGCCAGGGCAUUUCAGGAGGGAGGACUGCUUGUAGCCUUUAUUGGUAUUUUUGCUGUUUAGCUUGAGUUUCCAGAUGGCCAGCUGGUUGUAACAGGGAAUACUUAUUACCAGGUUCUCUAAUUGGGCCUGACCUUUGCUCCAGAAUCAAAUGGAGCCCAUGGCUAGGGUUAUGCUCUCUAGUGAGAUCAUGGCUGGACUCUGAAGUCAGACAGAAUUCUUAGCUGGCCACUGCAAUUCCUCAGAAUCACAGACUGGAUUCUCUACCAGGCAGUACAAUUAGCAUUCUGUAGUUGGGUAAGGCUGCCAACUAAGGUCUGAGCUUAGAACCAUGGCUUGGAAUGGGUGAAUCCAGAGGCUACACUGCAUAAAAAUGCAUGGUUGAGGCUUGUUUCCUGACCUGGGUGGACUCCACACUGUUCAUCUGGGUUUCUACAAGUGACAAGCAUGGUUUUGUGGGUGGGUUAUGCUGUUAGCUGGUUUCCUUGACCCAGCACCAGUGUAAGCAAGAGCACAGAGCUGCCUCUGUGUCCUUCAGGUUUUCCCUUUCCUUAUGCCUGACCUUGGAGGCCUCACCCUGCAAUUACCCAGUGUUUCCCUUGAGGAGAGACAGGAACGCACUUCCUGGUAGCAUCUUGAAAUGCUAAGGAAACCAGUGACUGUCUACUGAGCUCUUUUCUCAGUGUGGAAACUGUAGGUUCCCAUAUCUCUGUGCAAGAGAAGGGGGAGGUCAGAGGUCAGAGAUCAGAGAUGGGGACCAUUGUGAUCUGAGACAUUCUUCUUACCCUUCUAUGUGAGUCUUUUGUUUUAGAUGAUUUUAGGUUGUCUGGGCCAUGCCAGUUUCUCAGAUUUGUUUUCAAGAUCAGGCUUUUCACAAAGUGUUCUUGUCUGCAAAAAUUUGAUGGAAUUCACACUUUGCUUAGUGGGAAAGGUGGAGGCAUGGAGCCCCUAUUCUGUCAUCUUGCUGAUUCUACUCCCCUCAAGUAUCUCUGUAUAAACUUAUAAUCCUUCCUCCCACAGCCUGCUAACAUCACAUUAAGCUGCACAUAACACAAUUCCACAUACCCUAAGCUUAGAACUACUUCCAGAGGAUCUGGAAAGUCUAAUAAAUGAAGUAAAAUGAUGCAUAAAAAUCAGGGCUAGGAUGCUGGUUUGAACAGGGGUACCAAACACGCUAACCACUAAACUGGAGCCUGGAGCUUCUGAAUCACAGGACAAUCUACAAGCUAAAUAUAGUUUCUCUCUUCACUGACCACUGGAAAGAUGACUAGCCAAUAGUGGCUACUUUGUGCCUACUAUGUGUCACAAACUAUGCUAGAGGUUAAGCUAAGACAAUGUCUACUUCUAAAGAGUCCAGCUUAAAAGGUGAACAAUCACACAAAUGCUACAGUGGAGUUCCAGAAGUGGUGUGAGGCAGAGGAAUGAACUGGCUGUUACCGAUACCGAGAAAGCUUCCUGAGGCUUGAACUCAGACCUUCACAUACAUGAGGCAUGUGCUCCACAACCCCAGAAAGAUGCUGGCCCAUCAGAAUGAGUAGAAAUGACUGCACAGCCCUCUAGGAGAAUAAAACUGAACAAAAGAUUAGACUGAUGCACAAAAGUGUCUGACUGGAGAGACAGAAAUGAUCAGCAAGCAGUCUAGGCAUCUUGACUUUUGGAUCACUAAUGUAUACAGGAGCACACGGAGCCUGUCAAAUUAAUCUGAAGAAUUUCUGCCUUGCUGUAUUUUAAGAAGGCUGUAUCUUCCUGCCGAUAGUGUCAUUGUGGUUCCGAAGUCCUGCAUGUCUGAGUCUGGUAAUGUAUGGAGAGGUGGUGCUGAUGUCAUCCUGGGACGUUAGGAAGACUGUGGUAGGGAGAGCAGGGACUUCUAGUCCAGGAAGGUCCACUGGCCUACCAACACAUCUGUGCUCUCUGGGAAGUCUCCUCAAGCUGGUCUACACAGCCUCAAGGAAUGGCUUCCAUAUGAACAUGCCUGCCUCUGACUCUCCCAAAAGCACACACAGCCUUGAUUAAGAAGCAGUUCUCCGUUUCCUGCAUUCUCUCAGGCAGGGUUAUCUUCAUCUGCAUCAGGAGCCAUGUCCUCUGACCAGUCAUGACCGGCCCAUGGGACCUUCGAACUCUACCUGCACGUGAAACACUAUCACCCCAGACUUCAGGCACACCUCAGCUCUCUUGCUAUUUCUUCUUCCUUUCUUUCCAGAUGCUUCCUAGAAUCCUCUCCUUUCUUUAUCACCCUCUCAAAUGUGACAUCCCUUGGCUCCGUCUCAGAACCUAGUCUUUUUGCCUUUUCUCCUUGAAACCUCUUCCCUUACUCCACAGCACAAAUUAUUAUCUAGCUGCUGCUGAAGCUCAGACUUCUAAAAAUUUGCAACUCAUUCCAUUGGUAUUCUGAGAGUUCGCGUAUAUGUCUAUGGAAAGCUGAAAGUCAGCAUGAAAAAGUGCAAGGAACACCAAAAGGUUGAUUUUCUUUAAUCAAUAAAAAUGGCCAAUAAAUACACAAGAAAUAUGUUCACAAUGCACACUCAUUAAAAUGAGCAAUUUUUUCAAUGGUAAGGCCAACAUGGGUGAAACAG
ensembl:lncRNA